rnacentral:rRNA from 1 species
AGUGAACGCUGGCGGUAGGCCUAACACAUGCAAGUCGAACGGCAGCACAGUAAGAGCUUGCUCUUACGGGUGGCGAGUGGCGGACGGGUGAGGAAUACAUCGGAAUCUACUUUUUCGUGGGGGAUAACGUAGGGAAACUUACGCUAAUACCGCAUACGACCUACGGGUGAAAGCAGGGGAUCUUCGGACCUUGCGCGAUUGAAUGAGCCGAUGUCGGAUUAGCUAGUUGGCGGGGUAAAGGCCCACCAAGGCGACGAUCCGUAGCUGGUCUGAGAGGAUGAUCAGCCACACUGGAACUGAGACACGGUCCAGACUCCUACGGGAGGCAGCAGUGGGGAAUAUUGGACAAUGGGCGCAAGCCUGAUCCAGCCAUACCGCGUGGGUGAAGAAGGCCUUCAGGUUGUAAAGCCCUUUUGUUGGGAAAGAAAAGCAGUAGGUUAAUACCCCGCUGUUCUGACGGUACCCAAAGAAUAAGCACCGGCUAACUUCGUG